CAGCAGCCACGGUAUACGAAGGGGGCUAGCGUUGUUCGGAUUUACCGGGCGUAAAGGGCGCGUAGGCGGACUGAUAAGUCAGGGGUGAAAUCCCAAGGCUCAACCUUGGAACUGCCUUUGAUACUGUUUGUCUUGAGUUCGAGAGAGGUAAGUGGAACUGCGAGUGUAGAGGUGAAAUUCGUAGAUAUUCGCAAGAACACCAGUGGCGAAGGCGGCUUACUGGCUCGAAACUGACGCUGAGGCGCGAAAGCGUGGGGAGCAAACAGGAUUAGAUACCCCCGUAGUCCCUGUCUCUUAUACA
rnacentral:rRNA from 1 species